AUGAACCGAGGCCUACGUCGUUGUGUCAUGUGCUGGAGGACAUUCUGCGCCACAUACCGUCUCAAUCAAGGAGCUUGGACACGGGCACAUGGCCGAGGACCAAGCCGAGUGAGAGCAUGGGCGGUUGUGCAUUGGUGGCGGGGUGGCCCAUGCUGUAUCUCAGGCCGAGGGGAUCUCGCCAAGCAUACGCCGGCCGAUGUCCAUGUCAAUAUGCGUGUCGCCUAUGAGCAUCGCCGCACCAUUGUUGGUUGCACGCUGGAGGGUCGACUGGCGUUGUGUCGCUGCUGGUCGGGGAGAGCCUCACCUUGGAUGAUGCCAUUCCUACCACGCGUUGCGGGUGAAGGAUUGUUGCCUCAGGCGCUGCCACUUUGCGAGGAUGUGGGCCGAGCCGCCGCGCCAUGA
rnacentral:rRNA from 1 species